ACCACUAUAUACAAUUGUGUGACAUUCCCUAUUUUGAUUUGUAACUUACACUAAUAUUUUCAGUGCAUUAAUUAUUUAUGUUACGCAAUCUUAGCUAAGCCUCAGAUCAGCAGUACCGAUCAUGCUCCUUUAUUAGUUUUCCACGUUAGAGCUAUUUUGAAUUUGAAAAUACGUCUAUUUGUCCCUCCAGAUCAACUCACGCCAUUAAUAAAGUCUUAACAGACGCCCAUAAUAUUCCAAAUGUUAAAUGGGCAUAACGUACGUAGCUGGCUAGCGGCCACCGACCUGUUGAACCUUUUUUCACUUUUGCAUCUUUUCCCUAUCUCGGUUUUAUCUUUUAAUUUUGCUCUAAGAAAAGCAUUUCACUGAUUAGUGGGUUCUUUCUUUUCUAUCAAAAAAAGAAAAAAAAAAGAAAAAAGAAGAGAGAAUGGACUUUUGAAAACUUUAAAAUAUAACACGGUUACACACACAAACAUAUAUACACACAAUUGCCACAAACAGCAAGGGGGUCUACUUUCGGCGGGUUCAUCGGAAUCCCUUUGAUAUUAUUUAUACAUGACUAAAAUUAGUUUUUAUGUAUAUAUUAAUGUUAACUUUUUUGUGUGUUUGUUUGUUCAUAUUUUGAAUAUGUUGGUAAUAAUUUUGACUCCAUCAUUGACAAAUUAAAGUAAAGUAACCACAAAAAGGCACCUAGCUAUCUACGCAACAACAUCUGAAUUAUGCAAGAGAUUGGGUAAAGUAUGGGAAAUCAUAUGCUUAAUUAAAGUUUGGGAUCAAAAGAUUAUAAAGAAUUUCAUGCCUCCUACCCCACCCACUUCCCCUUCAACCAUGAAAUGAAGCAUAUAUAUAAAGCUCAUGAAGGAGGACAAACAAACAGUUUAAGUGCCACAAGAAAAUUAAUGCUUUGUCCUAAUAAACAAGUGUUUUUGUCUCUAUAAUAAAUUGUA
rnacentral:lncRNA from 1 species